GAUGAAGAACGUAGCGAAAUGCGAUAAGUAAUGUGAAUUGCAGAAUUCAGUGAAUCAUCGAAUCUUUGAACGCACAUUGCGCCCGCCAGUAUUCUGGCGGGCAUGCCUGUUCGAGCGUCAUUUCAACCAUCAAGCCCCAGGCUUGUGUUGGGGACCUGCGGCUGCCGCAGGCCCUGAAAACCAGUGGCGGGCUCGCUAGUCACACCGAGCGUAGUAGCAUACACAUCGCUCAGGGCGUGCUGCGGGUUCCGGCCGUUAAACCCCUUUUUUACCCAAGGUUGACCUCAGAUCAGGUAGGAAGACCCGCUGAACUUAAGCAUAUCAAUAAGCGGAGGA
rnacentral:misc_RNA from 1 species